rnacentral:tRNA from 1 species
UGCAUCGGCCGGGAAUCGAACCCGGGCCUCCCGCGUGGCAGGCGAGCAUUCUACCGCUGAACCACCGAUGC